rnacentral:rRNA from 1 species
UUAAGCGACUAAGCGUACACGGUGGAUGCCCUGGCAGUCAGAGGCGAUGAAGGACGUGCUAAUCUGCGAUAAGCGUCGGUAAGGUGAUAUGAACCGUUAUAACCGGCGAUUUCCGAAUGGGGAAACCCAGUGUGUUUCGACACACUAUCAUUAACUGAAUCCAUAGGUUAAUGAGGCGAACCGGGGGAACUGAAACAUCUAAGUACCCCGAGGAAAAGAAAUCAACCGAGAUUCCCCCAGUAGCGGCGAGCGAACGGGGAGGAGCCCAGAGCCUGAAUCAGUGUGUGUGUUAGUGGAAGCGUCUGGAAAGGCGCGCGAUACAGGGUGACAGCCCCGUACACAAAAAUGCACAUAUUGUGAGCUCGAUGAGUAGGGCGGGACACGUGGUAUCCUGUCUGAAUAUGGGGGGACCAUCCUCCAAGGCUAAAUACUCCUGACUGACCGAUAGUGAACCAGUACCGUGAGGGAAAGGCGAAAAGAACCCCGGCGAGGGGAGUGAAAAAGAACCUGAAACCGUGUACGUACAAGCAGUGGGAGCACGCUUAGGCGUGUGACUGCGUACCUUUUGUAUAAUGGGUCAGCGACUUAUAUUCUGUAGCAAGGUUAACCGAAUAGGGGAGCCGAAGGGAAACCGAGUCUUAACUGGGCGUUAAGUUGCAGGGUAUAGACCCGAAACCCGGUGAUCUAGCCAUGGGCAGGUUGAAGGUUGGGUAACACUAACUGGAGGACCGAACCGACUAAUGUUGAAAAAUUAGCGGAUGACUUGUGGCUGGGGGUGAAAGGCCAAUCAAACCGGGAGAUAGCUGGUUCUCCCCGAAAGCUAUUUAGGUAGCGCCUCGUGAAUUCAUCUCCGGGGGUAGAGCACUGUUUCGGCAAGGGGGUCAUCCCGACUUACCAACCCGAUGCAAACUGCGAAUACCGGAGAAUGUUAUCACGGGAGACACACGGCGGGUGCUAACGUCCGUCGUGAAGAGGGAAACAACCCAGACCGCCAGCUAAGGUCCCAAAGUCAUGGUUAAGUGGGAAACGAUGUGGGAAGGCCCAGACAGCCAGGAUGUUGGCUUAGAAGCAGCCAUCAUUUAAAGAAAGCGUAAUAGCUCACUGGUCGAGUCGGCCUGCGCGGAAGAUGUAACGAGGCUAAACCAUGCACCGAAGCUGCGGCAGCGACACUAUGUGUUGUUGGGUAGGGGAGCGUUCUGUAAGCCUGCGAAGGUGUGCUGUGAGGCAUGCUGGAGGUAUCAGAAGUGCGAAUGCUGACAUAAGUAACGAUAAAGCGGGUGAAAAGCCCGCUCGCCGGAAGACCAAGGGUUCCUGUCCAACGUUAAUCGGGGCAGGGUGAGUCGACCCCUAAGGCGAGGCCGAAAGGCGUAGUCGAUGGGAAACAGGUUAAUAUUCCUGUACUUGGUGUUACUGCGAAGGGGGGACGGAGAAGGCUAUGUUGGCCGGGCGACGGUUGUCCCGGUUUAAGCGUGUAGGCUGGUUUUCCAGGCAAAUCCGGAAAAUCAAGGCUGAGGCGUGAUGACGAGGCACUACGGUGCUGAAGCAACAAAUGCCCUGCUUCCAGGAAAAGCCUCUAAGCAUCAGGUAACAUCAAAUCGUACCCCAAACCGACACAGGUGGUCAGGUAGAGAAUACCAAGGCGCUUGAGAGAACUCGGGUGAAGGAACUAGGCAAAAUGGUGCCGUAACUUCGGGAGAAGGCACGCUGAUACGUAGGUGAAGUCCCUCGCGGAUGGAGCUGAAAUCAGUCGAAGAUACCAGCUGGCUGCAACUGUUUAUUAAAAACACAGCACUGUGCAAACACGAAAGUGGACGUAUACGGUGUGACGCCUGCCCGGUGCCGGAAGGUUAAUUGAUGGGGUUAGCGCAAGCGAAGCUCUUGAUCGAAGCCCCGGUAAACGGCGGCCGUAACUAUAACGGUCCUAAGGUAGCGAAAUUCCUUGUCGGGUAAGUUCCGACCUGCACGAAUGGCGUAAUGAUGGCCAGGCUGUCUCCACCCGAGACUCAGUGAAAUUGAACUCGCUGUGAAGAUGCAGUGUACCCGCGGCAAGACGGAAAGACCCCGUGAACCUUUACUAUAGCUUGACACUGAACAUUGAGCCUUGAUGUGUAGGAUAGGUGGGAGGCUUGGAAGUGUGGACGCCAGUCUGCAUGGAGCCGACCUUGAAAUACCACCCUUUAAUGUUUGAUGUUCUAACGUUGACCCGUGAUCCGGGUUGCGGACAGUGUCUGGUGGGUAGUUUGACUGGGGCGGUCUCCUCCUAAAGAGUAACGGAGGAGCACGAAGGUUGGCUAAUCCUGGUCGGACAUCAGGAGGUUAGUGCAAUGGCAUAAGCCAGCUUGACUGCGAGCGUGACGGCGCGAGCAGGUGCGAAAGCAGGUCAUAGUGAUCCGGUGGUUCUGAAUGGAAGGGCCAUCGCUCAACGGAUAAAAGGUACUCCGGGGAUAACAGGCUGAUACCGCCCAAGAGUUCAUAUCGACGGCGGUGUUUGGCACCUCGAUGUCGGCUCAUCACAUCCUGGGGCUGAAGUAGGUCCCAAGGGUAUGGCUGUUCGCCAUUUAAAGUGGUACGCGAGCUGGGUUUAGAACGUCGUGAGACAGUUCGGUCCCUAUCUGCCGUGGGCGCUGGAGAACUGAGGGGGGCUGCUCCUAGUACGAGAGGACCGGAGUGGACGCAUCACUGGUGUUCGGGUUGUCAUGCCAAUGGCACUGCCCGGUAGCUAAAUGCGGAAGAGAUAAGUGCUGAAAGCAUCUAAGCACGAAACUUGCCCCGAGAUGAGUUCUCCCUGACUCCUUGAGAGUCCUGAAGGAACGUUGAAGACGACGACGUUGAUAGGCCGGGUGUGUAAGCGCAGCGAUGCGUUGAGCUAACCGGUACUAAUGAACCGUGAGGCUUAACCUU